AUGAAUGUUAAUGCAGCGGUGGCGAAAUCUUCUAACAUUGGUGCUGUUGGUGUGGUCUGUCGAAGUGACCGUGGCGUAUUCCUGGGGGCGUCCGCAGUAGUAUUUCAAGGUGUGACAGAACCUGCUACUCUGGAGGCGUGCGCGUGUAGAGAAGUUUUAGCUCUUGCGGAGGACCUGGCCGUCUCAAAAGCACGCAUUGCAUCUGACUGUCUAAGAGUCAUAAACGACCUAAAUAGCGAGCGGAACUUAGGGGAGUACUGCAUGAUCCUUAGAGAGAUUGACGAUAGAAAGACGAGACUACAGAGUUGCGAGUUUGUCCACGAACACCGCACAAGUAAUGAUGAGGCACACAGAUUAGCUAGAUCAUCCAGUACACUUUGUAUUGGUAGACGUGUAUGGCUUAUUGAUCCACCGGAUCACAUUUGUAUCCCUUUAAACAUUAUUGAAUGA
rnacentral:rRNA from 1 species